CAAUAGCGUAUAUUUAAGUUGUUGCAGUUAAAAAGCUCGUAGUUGGAUUUCGGGUUGGCUUCAGCGGCCUCGCUUUGCGUUUGUACUGCUGCAGCCUACCUUCUUGUCGGGGACGGGCCUUCGGGCUUAAUUGCUUGGGGCCCGGAGUCGACGAUGUUACUUUGAGUAAAUUAGAGUGUUCAAAGCAAGCCUACGCUCUGAAUAUAAUAGCAUGGGAUAACACGACAGGACUCUGGCCUAUCGUGUUGGUCUGUAGGACCAGAGUAAUGAUUAAGAGGGACAGUCGGGGGCAUUCGUAUUCCGUUGUCAGAGGUGAAAUUCUUGGAUUUACGGAAGACGAACAUCUGCGAAAGCAUUUGCCAAGGAUGUUUUCAUUGA
rnacentral:rRNA from 1 species